UCCCUGGUGGUCCAGUGGCUAAGACUCUGCUCUGCCAAUGCAGGCAACUCAGGUUCGAUCCCUGGUCCAGGAA
rfam:Ovis aries breed Texel chromosome 3, whole genome shotgun sequence.